GAACACUCCCUACUUUGAGUUUAUACCAAUGUCUAGCUUUUCCCGUUAAAGAGAACGGAAAGAGCUUCCAUUUAAGGGUGUCAUCAGACAUGCCUUCUAUGCGAAGGAGGUCACAGACUCGAUAAAACUCUCUUAGGUGUUGUUGGGUAUUUUAAACGCAAACAGAAAAAUCCGCAAGCGCACGGAUACCGAUGUAGCCUUCACCCGGGAGUAUUCCAGAGUAUCGAUUUUCCACAGGGAACGUGAGUGUACUAAUUAAGAUUCAAGAUCGCCCAAGGAUAACUAUAUAAUUAUUUUUGGUGGGA
rnacentral:lncRNA from 1 species